GACGAACGCUGGCGGCGUGCCUAAUACAUGCAAGUUGAGCGAUGAAGCUUGGUGCUUGCACCAAUUUGAAGAGCAGCGAACGGGUGAGUAACGCGUGGGGAAUCUGCCUUUGAGCGGGGGACAACAUUUGGAAACGAAUGCUAAUACCGCAUAACAACUUUAAACAUAAGUUUUAAGUUUGAAAGAUGCAAUUGCAUCACUCAAAGAUGAUCCCGCGUUGUAUUAGCUAGUUGGUGAGGUAAAGGCUCACCAAGGCGAUGAUACAUAGCCGACCUGAGAGGGUGAUCGGCCACAUUGGGACUGAGACACGGCCCAAACUCCUACGGGAGGCAGCAGUAGGGAAUCUUCGGCAAUGGACGAAAGUCUGACCGAGCAACGCCGCGGGAGUGAAGAAGGUUUUCGGAUCGUAAAACUCGGUUGGUAGAGAAGAACGUUGGUGAGAGUGGAAAGCUCAUCAAGUGACGGUAACUACCCAGAAAGGGACGGCUAACUACGUG
rnacentral:rRNA from 1 species